UUAUUAUGAUGAGGAUAAUCUAGAAGCAGCCCCUUGAACCUCUCCCAGACAGAAUAUAAAGACUCGCCUUUCUUCUGUUUAAAAGAGACUAUCUCACUUCUAAUUUU
rnacentral:snoRNA from 1 species